UGUGUACUCCCUCCGUUCCAAAAUACUUGACUUCCAUUUGUCCAAAAAUGGAUGUACCUAUAUACUAAAACAUGUCUAGAUACAUAUAUAUUUUGACAAAUAGAAGGCAUCUAUUGUGCAACGGAGGGAGUAGAAU
rnacentral:pre_miRNA from 1 species